rnacentral:rRNA from 1 species
AGUGAACGCUGGCGGUAGGCCUAACACAUGCAAGUCGAACGAACCCUUCGGGGUUAGUGGCGGACGGGUGAGUAACACGUGGGAACGUGCCUUUAGGUUCGGAAUAACUCAGGGAAACUUGUGCUAAUACCGAAUGUGCCCUUCGGGGGAAAGAUUUAUCGCCUUUAGAGCGGCCCGCGUCUGAUUAGCUAGUUGGUGAGGUAAUGGCUCACCAAGGCUACGAUCAGUAGCUGGUCUGAGAGGAUGACCAGCCACAUUGGGACUGAGACACGGCCCAAACUCCUACGGGAGGCAGCAGUGGGGAAUCUUGCGCAAUGGGCGAAAGCCUGACGCAGCCAUGCCGCGUGGAUGAUGAAGGUCUUAGGAUUGUAAAAUCCUUUCACCGGUGAAGAUAAUGACUGUAGCCGGAGAAGAAGCCCCGGCUAACUUCGUGCCAGCAGCCGCCGUAA